UGAAAACUAAAUUAACGUUUUCUUAACGUUUUUUUUUUACUUUAGCGGAUAAAAUAUGUGAAAAUACGACUCAAUAUUGUAUGAUGGGUAGGGUGGGAUAAGACGGGACACCUUUAGCACUUAAAAUCUAAAUAUCCUGAUCGGGUUUUAAACGAUUAACAACGGUCUACUAUAAGAGUCCUGAGGUGUCCCAUCUUCCCCCACCCUACUACUAAACAAAACAGUUAAAACAUUGAUUUCGGUAGUUAAUAAAACAAAAUAAACAAAAUGCCCAGAAAUAGUAUUAAUUUCAUUUUCAUGUAAGAUAAGGCGUACCAGUGCGGAAAAAAGAUACCAAAUUAAGGUUAAGGAACUGUUGGGCGUUUGAACAUAGGUGAUUGCUACCAGGAUAUAAAACAGGGGCAUGACAAGCUAGGUACACUCAGGUCUCCGCCUGCCUUUAAUUGAACUGAUGUCGCCGAGCUGUUUACUAAGACUGCUAAUCUACAACAUCAAACAUCUUACCCAGUGUUGCCAGAUUAAAAUUU